AUGUAAUAAACUAUCAUCUUGCCUUUAUUUUUAGUUAGCACAUACCUUAAACACUUAAAGCUAUAAGCUAAUGAUCGUUAUGUAAGAGCAGAUACUGCUGGUGCAAUAAGCUGUACAUUUUACGUCCAAUGGAUGCAUGAUCUGGCAGCCCUAGUCAGCAUAAUCUUAUUGAUGAAAUUCAAUGACACAAAUCUGGGUGAGUAAAAGUUCACCGGGCAAUAUUGUAUAACCCUUUCAGACCUCAGCCAGGCUGUCUGGACAUUUCUUUUCUAUAAUAGCUUUAAAAAGGGUAAAAAUGUUGAACAAUCAAAACGAUUCUUUGACGUGAAUCAAUUUGAUUCUCAUGGGACUCAAUUAAGAUUCAACUUUUCAAAUGUUUUUAACAUAACACUAAUUGUAAACAUUUGUCUUGCAGGUGACUGAGCAAUGGAGAAGCUGGAUGAUGUAACAGUAUCUGUCCUUAAAGGAAGACCAUCCGCUACCACAGAAACCUGAAACAACUUCUUCACCCAGGGUAGUUGCAACAGGCCCUCCAACUGCUGAUGCUAAUGUAAGCCAGCUGAAAACCUUGCAGCUCCCCAGUCCUCCGGAAUAUGUUCUGUACACCGACAGUGAGUUGGAGCAAUGCCGAAAGAGUUACCUGGAGUUGGCCUGCUCCGGCAGGGAACAGGCAUGCGUCAUGUCAAAAGUACUGAGAUGCAGAUUGGUGAGAAAUACAAUCACAAGUAUGGUGUCCC
ensembl:lncRNA